CUUCCGUAGGGUGAACCUGCGGAAGGAUCAUUAG
rnacentral:rRNA from 1 species